GGAGGUGUCGCAUAGUGGACUAGUGCAGCGGUCUUGAAAACCGCCAGGCGGGGUGACUCGUCUCGUGGGUUCGAAUCCCACCGCCUCCG
rnacentral:tRNA from 1 species